AAACCCGGUGAUCUAGCCAUGGGCAGGUUGAAGGUUGGGUAACACUAACUGGAGGACCGAACCGACUAAUGUUGAAAAAUUAGCGGAUGACUUGUGGCUGGGGGUGAAAGGCCAAUCAAACCGGGAGAUAGCUGGUUCUCCCCGAAAGCUAUUUAGGUAGCGCCUCGUGAACUCAUCUUCGGGGGUAGAGCACUGUUUCGGCUAGGGGGCCAUCCCGGCUUACCAAACCGAUGCAAACUCCGAAUACCGAAGAAUGUUAUCACGGGAGACACACGGCGGGUGCUAACGUCCGUCGUGAAGAGGGAAACAACCCAGACCGCCAGCUAAGGUCCCAAAGUCAUGGUUAAGUGGGAAACGAUGUGGGAAGGCACAGACAGCCAGGAUGUUGGCUUAGAAGCAGCCAUCAUUUAAAGAAAGCGUAAUAGCUCACUGGUCGAGUCGGCCUGCGCGGAAGAUGUAACGGGGCUAAACCAUGCACCGAAGCUGCGGCAGCGACGCUUAGGCGUUGUUGGGUAGGGGAGCGUUCUGUAAGCCGUUGAAGGUGGCCUGUGAGGGUUGCUGGAGGUAUCAGAAGUGCGAAUGCUGACAUAAGUAACGAUAAAGCGGGUGAAAAGCCCGCUCGCCGGAAGACCAAGGGUUCCUGUCCAACGUUAAUCGGGGCAGGGUGAGUCGACCCCUAAGGCGAGGCUGAAAAGCGUAGUCGAUGGGAAACAGGUUAAUAUUCCUGUACUUGGUGUUACUGCGAAGG
rnacentral:rRNA from 1 species